UACGUAGGGAGCAAGCGUUGUCCGGAAUCAUUGGGCGUAAAGCGCGCGUAGGCGGCCCUGUAAGUCCGUUGUGAAAGUCAAAGGCUCAACCUUUGAAAGCCGAUGGAUACUGCAGGGCUAGAGUCCGGAAGAGGCGAGUGGAAUUCCUGGUGUAGCGGUGGAAUGCGCAGAUAUCAGGAGGAACACCAAUAGCGAAGGCAGCUCGCUGGGACGGUACUGACGCUAAGGGCGCGAAAAGCGUGGGGAGCGAACAGG
rnacentral:rRNA from 1 species